UGUCUGUUCCUUCCCAUGAGUGGUCAUUUUUCUAUUUGAAAAUCAUGACCAUGAAACCUCGAACAUUUACGGGUUAUGCAAACAGCUUCCGUCGGUAUAUUUUUAAUAAUCACCACUCUUAUUAUUACCAGAUGUUGAAAUCCCAAGUGAUAGCAGAGUGACAGACUGUAACGCUCCAUGGACUGUAGCCUACUAGGUUCCUCUGUGCAUGGGAUUUCCCAGAGGCUGCCUGGGGGACUUCUGUGGACAUACUGCUCCCUCUGCGGACAAGAGGCUGAGAAAAGUGCACGAGACAGUGGAAUUUUUUAGUGUGUCACCUGGCGUCAUGGAAUAGUGGCAGUCCUGUGGGAUGUCCCUACUGGUUUUUCCUUGGUUCUUGAAUUCCAAAUGUUUGAGAACCACUGUCAUACAAGAACAGUUCAAUCCCCACCUCACCCUUGGGGCCUUCCCUGUCUUUUGGGGCUCCCACUUUUCCUUUCUUUUAAAAAAUAUCAGUUAGGAUAUUUUCCCUGUAAAGUCAUAAGUAUAUAGGUGCGGGACAAUUGGUAAAUGUAAAAACUUACAAAGAAGA